rnacentral:tRNA from 1 species
UCCGGGGUAGCUUAAUUUUUAAAGCUUUAGACUUUUAAUCUGGAUAUAGGAUUUUUCCUCCCCGGAU